AUAGGUUAUAAAUAUUGAUUUUAUAAAUGUACAUUAAAUAUCACAUUCAUUUAACUUUCUGACAUCAACAUUUGACUUCAUAGAAAUCAUGAAGUACUUAUGACAUUGCAAGAGUGACUAUUUACAGUGCAAACAGUGAUAAAUAAAAGUAACACCUGAUUAGCAAUCAUGUGUGUGUGUGUGUGAAGGGGGUGUCAUCCUUCCAAAGUCAGGAUGAAUGAUGCUUAUAAAUAUUGAUUCUUUUAUGGUUUAUCUGCACUGGUUAAUUUGAGCCAACCAAGAUUCAUAAGUCAAACUGUGGAAAUGUGGAGUGAUAAAACCUUGACCUUCUAAUAUGAAGGUCUCAAGGUUAUCAGUUAAACAAAGGUUGGAAUUUUUUCCUUUCAUCUUCAAUUAUUAAAAGAAAAAAAUAACAAUGAUAACCAUAUCAAGCUUUACAUCACCUGAACCAUAAAUAAUAUACAUUGCUUUACAUGUUUUUAUGUCUCUAGUAAAGAAAGUAAAUGAACACAAAAGUAAAAAAUAUUUUAAUUCUAUCAUUGCUGCCUGAAUAUAAUAUAGUUAAAUGUGUUGUGUGGAACUUUGCUUUUAAAUAUUUGUUGUUAAAAAAAAAAGGUUAAUGGAUUCUGACAGUCCCACUUUUAUACAAAACAAUUCCCCUCAAAAUCUAAAUCAUCUGUAGUUGUUAUGUUUUUUCAACUGAGGCAGGUUACAUUACAAAGUCAAGGAAACUUAUGUUCAGUCAAUGGCCUACAAUUCUUAGUAACUUCUACUAUCCUCUUCAAGAAACAAAAUAAAAAAAUUAUUUCAAUAGUAUGUACCGUUACUAAAAAUUUAUAUGUAAAAUCUUUAUAAAAGACUUUUGCAUUUGAUUCUUUGCUUAGUCUAUCCCUCUAAAACAUGCGUAGUACAUACAUAAUCCAUUCUCACAUAAGUAUAAAAUAUUACAAAUUAAUAUGUGUAGGGUAAGGAAUCAUCUCAAAAUAAAUAUUUUUUGUGUACAAAAUACAUUAUAAAUUUUGUUCCAGAAUGAUUUGAUUAUGAACAAUAAAGGUUCAACAAGUCACUGAGAGCAUGAUUUUGUUCACAACAAAUUAUCUGCAAUGUCAGAUUUAGUUGAAGAGAAUAGACUCUGGGUCCUGGUUCCUUAGCUGA